GAUGAACGCUGGCGGCGUGCCUAAUACAUGCAAGUAGAACGCUGAAGAGAGGAGCUUGCUCUUCUUGGAUGAGCUGCGAACGGGUGAGUAACGCGUAGGUAACCUGCCUUGUAGCGGGGGAUAACUACUGGAAACGAUAGCUAAUACCGCAUAAUAUAGGAUGACACAUGGUACUUAUUUGAAAGGCGCAAUUGCUCUACUAUAAGAUGGACCUCCGUUGUAUUAGCUAGUAGGUGAGGUAAUGGCCCACCUAGGGGACGAUACAUAGCCGACCUGAGAGGGUGGACCGCCACACUGGGACCGGAACCCGGGCCAGAACCCUUAGGGGAGCAGCAAUAGGGAAACCUCGGCAAAGGGGGCAAAGCUUGCCGGACCAACCCGGGUGGGCGGAGGAGGUUUUCCGGUCGUUAAGCUCUGUUUUAAGGGGAGGACGGAUUUGGGAAUGAAAAGUUCACGCUGUGACGGUACCUUAUCAGAAAGCCACGGCUAACUACGUG
rnacentral:rRNA from 1 species